CGUGCUUAACACAUGCAAGUCGAACGGUGAAGGAGAGCUUGCUCUCCGGAUCAGUGGCGAACGGGUGAGUAACACGUGAGCAAUCUGCCCCUGACUCUGGGAUAAGCGCUGGAAACGGCGUCUAAUACCGGAUACGAGCUGCGAAGGCAUCUUCAGCAGCUGGAAAGAACUUCGGUCAGGGAUGAGCUCGCGGCCUAUCAGCUAGUUGGUGAGGUAAUGGCUCACCAAGGCGUCGACGGGUAGCCGGCCUGAGAGGGUGACCGGCCACACUGGGACUGAGACACGGCCCAGACUCCUACGGGAGGCAGCAGUGGGGAAUAUUGCACAAUGGGCGCAAGCCUGAUGCAGCAACGCCGCGUGAGGGACGACGGCCUUCGGGUUGUAAACCUCUUUUAGCAGGGAAGAAGCGAAAGUGACGGUACCUGCAGAAAAAGCGCCGGCUAACUACGUGCCAGCAGCCGCGGUAAUACGUAGGGCGCAAGCGUUAUCCGGAAUUAUUGGGCGUAAAGAGCUCGUAGGCGGUUUGUCGCGUCUGCUGUGAAAACCCGAGGCUCAACCUCGGGCCUGCAGUGGGUACGGGCAGACUAGAGUGCGGUAGGGGAGAUUGGAAUUCCUGGUGUAGCGGUGGAAUGCGCAGAUAUCAGGAGGAACACCGAUGGCGAAGGCAGAUCUCUGGGCCGUAACUGACGCUGAGGAGCGAAAGGGUGGGGAGCAAACAGGCUUAGAUACCCUGGUAGUCCACCCCGUAAACGUUGGGAACUAGUUGUG
rnacentral:rRNA from 1 species